GAUAGCCUUUCGAAAGAAAGAUUAAUACCCGAUGGUAUAACAUGACCUCCUGGUUUUGUUAUUAAAGAAUUUCGGUAGAGGAUGGGGAUGCGUUCCAUUAGGCAGUUGGCGGGGUAACGGCCCACCAAGCCUUCGAUGGAUAGGGGUUCUGAGAGGAAGGUCCCCCACAUUGGAACUGAGACACGGUCCAAACUCCUACGGGAGGCAGCAGUGAGGAAUAUUGGUCAAUGGGCGAGAGCCUGAACCAGCCAAGUAGCGUGAAGGAUGACCGCCCUAUGGGUUGUAAACUUCUUUUAUAUGGGAAUAAAGUUUGCCACGUGUGGCAUUUUGUAUGUACCAUAUGAAUAAGGAUCGGCUAACUCCGUGCCAGCAGCCGCGGUAAUACGGAGGAUCCGAGCGUUAUCCGGAUUUAUUGGGUUUAAAGGGAGCGUAGGUGGACAUGUAAGUCAGUUGUGAAAGUUUGCGGUUCAACCGUAAAAUUGCAGUUGAUACUGCGUGUCUUGAGUACAGUAGAGGUGGGCGGAAUUCGUGGCGUAGCGGUGAAUGCUUAGAUAUCACGAAGACUCCGAUUGCGAAGGCAGCUCACUGGACUGCAAC
rnacentral:rRNA from 1 species